AGGCCCGUAGCUUAAUUGGCAAUAAGCGUAAGACCUUUAAACACUGCCUCCAGUGUAUAAAUCUUGAGAUUGCAGGUUCAAAUCCUGCCGGGUCUU